UUCUCUCUCUCUCUCACUCUCUCUCUCUCGACAGAACUUUAAGAACUCUCCCCACCUCCAGUUUUCAUUAGUCAAGAUAGUUUAGUUCAAAUAUCUGGUGAUUUCAGACUUGUGGAGAGUUAUUUUAAUGAAUAAUGUGAACAUUAAAUGGAAAAUGUUUCACACAUUGCUUUUAUUCUGUUUGUUCUUGUGGCAUGUGGUUGGUGUGUUUGGUGUUGAGAGAGUGUCAGUGAUGGAGGGAGAUUCUGUCACUCUACACACUGAUGUCACUGAAAUACAGAGAGAUGAUGAGAUCGAGUGGAGGUUUGGACCUGAAAACAUUCGCAUCGCUAGAAUCAAGAGAAAGAUCGGAGACUUCUCUACAUCUGAUGAUGUUCUUGAUGGGAGAUUCAGAGGUCGACUGCAUCUGAACAAUCAGACUGGAUCUCUCACCAUCACAAACAUCAGAACUGAACACACUGGACUUUAUGAACUAAACAUCAUUACAGUAAAUGAGCGAACGACAAAGAGAUUCAGUGUUACUGUUUAUGCUCAUCUGCCCAUUCCUGUCAUCAUCAGAGACUCUUCUCAAUGUUCUUCAAGCUCUAAAUGUGUGUUGGUGUGUUCAGUGGUGAAUGUGACACAGGUGACUCUCUCCUGGUACAAAGGAAACAGUUUAUUCUCCUCCAUCAGUGUGUCUGAUCUCAACAGCAGUCUCUCUCUACAUCUGGAGGUGGAAUAUCAGGAGAACAACAUCUACAGCUGUGUGAUCAACAAUCCCAUCAGAAACCAGACUCAACAUCUCAACAUUAAUGAAGUCUGUCAGCUGUGUUCAGAAAGUCCUUCACAACCCCAAAACUUGUCUCUUAUGAUGCUGAUAUCUGCUGCUGCUGCUGCUGGAACUCUCUUCAUCGCUGCAGUUUUGAUGUUCUGCAUCUGCAGAAAACACAGAAAAACUGAUCAAGAGGAUCAGACUCGUACAGAGAUUAUUUACGCUGAUCCAACAUACCAAAGAUGAACACAGAAAUCAAUAGUAAAACAGGAGGAUGAUGUGGUGUACGCAGGUGUCGCUGUGAGAUAUUGAUCAAACAAUUCAAUUUCCUGAUUUAUUCUAAUCACUGUAACUAUGACUCUGUUCAGCAGUGUUACUGUAUUAAAUAUGCUUUUAUUUGUGUUGUGUCAUUUAAAGUGGUGAGAUGAUUGGGGGCUUUAAUGUUCAUGUGUGAUUUCUGUAUACUGAAAUGUAAAAUAGAGUUGAUCGUGUGACAUUAAUGGAUUUAUAUAAAGGGGCUUGUGACAAACAUGUUUUAUUACCUUUUUUAACCAUAUACUGUAUUUUCUUUCUGUCUUAAUUUUGAAAACUUAAAAAGAUUCAGUAAUGUUAUUAGUGGUGGUGUAAUAGUGUUCAUUUAGUGUUUAUUUUACAGUGUCAAUGCUACAAAACUGCUACCAACCUUUUAGAACAAAAAAAAAUGUAUAAAAUACAUUUAAAAACCUGUCAAUAACAUAUAGACCAAUGUGCAGACUAAAAAGGACAAUUUGGCCAUACCUGAAAACACAGCUGGCAGCAAAGCACACUUGCAUUUUUACAUGCAUUCUUUCACCUUUCAGCUCGUAGAAACCGUUUUUCAUUUGAGCAUUUAUUUUAAAAGCUGUUUGCACUCAGAUGAUGACACGGGCAACGUGUCAAGUUAUUGCAAUGACAUACAGAUAUGGUAAGAAAUUAUUUAGCAGAGACGGGCCACUUCUAUUAAAAUAAAUCACACAGGCCAAAACACAAACAGAAAUUCUGGCCCAGAACGGACAUUUCAAAGUUGAAUUUACUGGCUAAAGCAUUGUUUUCUGAGAAGCCAGUAUUUCAACUUAGCAUGUUUCCUAAAUCUCUGAUAACAUAUUAUGAUAAUUUUAUGCUUUAGUACAGGAAAUAUAUUACAUACUGCACCUUUAACGGCUGCCGGAAGUGAUGUUUCAAACCAAAGCGUUGUGUUGCCACUAGCUUUAGCUCGCUAUCCACUCUCAGUUCAACACUUUUAACUCAAUAUACAUAUUCACACAGCAUGGUAUGAUGGUAAAACGUUAAACUCACUUUUGUAAGCUGCUGUCUUCACAGAAGUUUCACUAGUUGUCAUAUUCAUUAUUUACAAUUGUUUUAAAAGAUUACCAUCGCUGACGGUAACUCCGCCCCUUCCGCUAUGUUUGGCAAGCCGCGUGCGCUGAGUGCACAAAGUGUCCAACAUUACGCACUCCGUUUUGACAGUUAAAAAAGUGCCUCAUCCGGGUACUCGUAGUGCACUUCGUUUGGUUGCAUUUUCACUGUAAACAUAUUACUCGCACUACUUACACUUCAAAAUGACGUAAAAUAGUGCAGAAGUGUGCGGUUUGGGACGCACCUUUUGAAACGGUCCGUGUACAUUUUGACCGUUUGAUUUUUAAUUUGAAAAGAAAUAAGCAGAAAUGAGAAAAUUCGGAAAAAAAUGGAAAAACAAGAAUUCGGCUUAAUUUUUUUAGAAAACGCAGAAAAAGCUUGAGUAUUUGAUUUGUACUUGUGGGUGGGCCUAAAACACCCCUUUCCUCUGAUUGGUCAAUCCACACCAUCAUCUCUUCCUCAAAUGCUGAAUAACAGUCCACCGCUGUCAUAAGACUAUGAAGUUUCAUUUGUCUGGUUUUAGAUUAAUUUAUCAUUCUUAAUAUUAUUUUUCAGAACAUGUUACUGAUCCAUAUUUAUUGCACCUAUGCUAUCUCUCAUUAUGCAAACAAUGAAACAAAUAUCAGAGUUAAUGUCCACUGAAUGUUUGAAGUGAACAGUAAUAUGCAAUAAAAACACACAGAAAUGAUGAAGAUCAGAAUGUAUAAUAUUUUAAUCAAGUGAAAUAUGGUCCAGAAGCAUCACUCACUUCUACAUCAUUUACUUUAUUGAUCUUAUCUGUUCUGUUGAAACUGUUAUUCACACAUGUAUGAGGGCUGCCAACUCUCACACACUGAGUGUGAGAGUCACGCAACUGACACUGUUCUCACGCCAUACUUCCCUUUUCAGCGCACAGACAGCACCGUGCAGCAAAGAAGUUUUUUUAUUUUUUUAAAUCAUUUAUAAAAAGAAAAAAAAAUUGGUUUAGCACCAGACCACAUAAUUUUAUGUAUAUGAAACUUCCCCAAUAAAACUAGCAAUUGAAUGAUAUAUUCUUUAUCCUUUUCUAUCCCACAGUCAUUUACAUAUAUCAUUAUAUCAGUCCCACCCAGUUUUAUAUCUAUAUUGAGUUUCCUUUUAAUGACAUUUUCAACAUCAACCCAAAACAUCUUUGUGUAAAUACAAUGAAAGAAUAAAUGAAAAAUAGUUUCUUUAUCAUUAUUAUUAUAGAAUUCACACGAGUAAUCAAUAUUAAAUUUGAAAUGUUCCAUUAUGUUUCACAGGAUAAAUGAUUUUAUAUGAAACUUCCUUUAUUUUAUUAUUAAUAAAGAAUUUAUCAACUGUUCUCCAAGCCUUACACCACUUUAAAUCUCCAAAUAUUGAUGACCAA